CACUGAAGAUACAAUAACAAAUCCAUUUGGUUUAAUUGCGACAAACAAUUGGUCAUGUUCAAACCAAUCUUAGCGAAAUACUAUUUCCUUCCUUGUCCAUUUAUAAAAUAUACAAAAUAUCUAUUAAAUUAUGUACACUAAAUAGCGUUUUUAAAAAUUUUGGUGCGUAACGUACGGAUGUUUUAUUCAAUAGAGUGUGUGUUCAAAGUUUCGCCUAUUGGUCUUGUUGUUCCUAAAUUUUACCUUGCGCAUUAAUCGUUAAAUUGUCCCUCUUUCAGAUUCAUCAGUCUCUUCAUUCAUCAUGAUAUUUUCUCCCAUUUCUUAAAUAUUCAAUCUAAAAAAAUUAAAAUAUGAUGAGCGAACUGAGAGAGCAUGUACAGUAUGUUGAUCUAAAAGCUGGUUGACACUGUCAGAGUUUCUGUGAUCACAGUAGGAAUU
rnacentral:lncRNA from 1 species